rnacentral:rRNA from 1 species
CCUACGGGUGGCAGCAGUGGGGAAUAUUGCACAAUGGGGGAAACCCUGAUGCAGCGACGCCGCGUGAGUGAAGAAGUAAUUCGUUAUGUAAAGCUCUAUCAGCAGGGAAGAAAAUGACGGUACCUGAGCAAGAAGCCACGGCUAACUACGUGCCAGCAGCCGCGGUAAUACGUAGGGGGCAAGCGUUAUCCGGAUUUACUGGGUGUAAAGGGAGCGUAGACGGGAGUGCAGGUCUGGAGUGAAAGGCGGGGGGUCAACCCCCGGACUGCUCUGGAAACUGGACGGCUGGAGUGCAGGAGAGGUAAGUGGAAUUCGUAGUGUAGCGGUGAAAUGCGUAGAUAUCAGGAAGAACACCAGUGGCGAAGGCAGCUUACUGGACUGUAACUGACGUUGAGGCUCGAAAGCGUGGGGAGCAAACAGGAUUAGAUACCCGAGUAGUC